UCCUCCUCCUUCUAAUAACUGUCAUUUUCUCUGCGCGUUACCUCAUGUUUUGGCUGCAGCCCAGAUGAAUCUGGAGGGGAGAAAAGCAUGCUUUCAGACCAAUUCACGCACAUAUCAUUUUUCUUUUCAUUAAGAAAUUACUCUUUGAAGAAAAUCAAUAAUGUUCUAUGACUGAGGGGGAAGAGUAGGACCUACAUCUGAUAUGUUCAAGCAUUUACCAAUACUGUCACCUACUGGGACCUAGCCUUUGUGGAUGGCCUGCGGAAGAACUUUCAGAGAGACUCAUACUGUCUCCUGUCACAGCCAAAACAGCCACAAUGAAACGAAGCAAGAAAUUAUAGCCAGUACCAGGCAGUAGACAGAAUGGAAUGCAAACAGUGUGCUUGUCUGUCAAAGGAGAUUGAUUAAAUGGGCUCUAAUAUGAUUAUAUAACGAAAUACCAUUUAUCUUGGGCUCUGAUAUGAU
rnacentral:lncRNA from 1 species